UAAAAGCAUCUUCAAAAACAGGUGGUAGGAU
rnacentral:piRNA from 1 species